AACGUAGGAGGCGAGCGUUAUCCGGAUUUACUGGGCGUAAAGGGCAAGUAGGCGGUGGCCAAAGUUGGGCGUGACAUCUCCCGGCUCAACUGGGAGGGGUCGCUCAAAACUAGGCGACUAGAGGGCAGGAGAGGGAAGCGGAAUUCCUAGUGUAGCGGUGGAAUGCUCAGAUAUUAGGAAGAACACCAGUGGCGAAGGCGGCUUCCUGGCCUGUACCUGACGCUGAGAGGCGAAAGCUAGGGGAGCAAAC
rnacentral:rRNA from 1 species